rnacentral:lncRNA from 1 species
UGUGAUAUUUCACUUAAUCCUAGCACCUAGGUGAUGUAACACUUCUCUUUUGUCUGGACACUUGCAUAUUUUUGGUAGUGUAACAUAUCACUUGGCCCAACACCUAGAAUAUAGGAGGUUUCUGCCAGGGCCCUGCCUACAGGGGGGCCUGUGACAUAUUUCUCCUGGCUGUGGAACCCAGUACCUAAGAAAUGUACCUCUUCUGCCUGCAGUUUGCCAAUAAGAAAUGUUAUGAUAUAUUGAUGGGUCCAGCAACCAUGUGAUAUAUCUCUCCUGCUUUGGCCUCAUCAACAGAGAGCAUUGUGACAUACCCGCGAGCCAAGCACACAGAUGAUGUUAUUCUGCUGCCUGUGCCCUGCUUUCAGGAGUGGAUUGCAAUGUAACACUGGCUGAGUACCCAGGUUAAUGACACUGUUGCCUGGUCCCUGUUCUCAGGGAAGACUGUAAUAGACCCCUGACCCAAUAUCCAGGGGACAUUGUGACAUACUUCUUGGCCAUGAACCCAGGUUAUGUGAGCCUUUCUGUGCCCUGCCCAUGUGGACAAUUGUGACAUAUUACCGAGUCCUACACCCAGGCGAUGCUACUCUCCUGUCUGGUCCUUGCCUACAGGGAACAUUGUGACAUAUCUCUUUGCCAUUCAUCCAGGUUCUGCCCACAGGGAAGAUUGUGGUGAAUUACUGAACGCGAUACCUAGAUGAAGGAGAGACUAUAACAUACCUCUUGGCCCAGCACCUAGUUGAUGUAACUCUGCUCUCCUGCCUGGGCCACACCUACAGAAGAAAGAGUGACUUCUCACUGGGCCAGCACACAGGUCAUGUUAUUUUACUGCCUUGAUCCUUGUCCACAAUAAUCAUUGUACAUAGUUUUGGGCUCUUCUACUAGAAGACGUGCGGGAUGGUUAAAUAUCACUGGACCUAGCACCUAGGGAAUGUGACUCUUGUCUUUUGCAUCAGCCCCACUCGUUUUGAGAACUGUAACAUAUCACUGGGCCAAACACCUAGAAGAUGGGAAGUGUCUGCCUAUGCCCUGCAAACAGGGCUUUAGCCCUACCACUCUCAAGAGCCUCGUGACAUAUCUCUGCAUUCAUCAUCUAGGAGAUGUGACUCCUCCCUGCUGCCUGCGCUCUGCCUACAGGGAAGACCAUAACAACAUUUGGCCCAGCAACACGGUGAUGUGUUUUUUCCCAGGGCCUUGCUCACAGGGAGCAUUGUGACAUAUCACUGGAACCAGCAUCCAGGGCUGUGACUCUGUGUCCUGCUGUUAGAACAGGAUUGUAACAUAUCACUGACCAAGCACCCAGGUGAUGUGACUCUUCUGCCUGGUGCCUGCCUUCAGGGAAAAUUGUGACAUAUGCCUGGCCUAGCACCAAAGUGAUGUGGCUCUCCUGCUACCUCUAUGCACAGGUGGGAUUGUGACAUAUACCUUCAUUCAGCUCAUAGGUGAGGUGAUAACUCUCAUACCACAAACCAAACAGUAGGAGAGAUGCUGUCUGUCAAAGCUAAGCUUACAGAAAUACACAAGAUUCAGGGACUUUUCUUUGUAUAAACAUUAUAGUAGAUUACUGCUCUCUUGUAUAUAAUAUAAACUUCUCAGGUGGUACAGAGAGUGUCAUCACAGGGCCCAGCGCACAGGUGAGAAUACAUUAUUUGUAUGCACGCCCCACCACCCAUUAGGAUUUUCACCCUCAAACAUGGAAAGAGCCUACUGGUAAGGUCUUGAAUCUCACACCUGGAUGCAGUCUACAGUUGAAAUUGUGAUUGUCAUAGGUGAAUAUCCAGCUGCAGUUGAGAUGGUGACUCAUUUCUAACUUAGCUCUGAGGCAGGUGAGGACUGUUUUAUUUGGAACCAGCCAAUUAUAAAGAUGUUGACUCUCAUAUUUGAGCUUAGUUCUACAGGUACAAUCAUGGGUCCAUAACAUCAUGAAGGUCAUAGAGCAGUUUGCAACUCUCAUUAAUACUGUAGAAGGCUCUUGGGUGGUACUGAGAGGGUCUUAGCAGAGCCCCGCACACAGGUGAGAUUGUGACACUCAUAUGCACACCCAGCCAACAAUAAAACUUUUCAUCUUUCCACAUGAACACAGCCCACUGUUGAGGUCCUGAGUCUCCCUUGUGAAAACAGUGCAAAGUUGAAAAAUUGACUCUUAUAUGUGGAUUUGGUUCACAGAUGGGUUGGUGAUGCUCAGACAAAUAUUCAGCACACCUGUGAGUCUGCGACUCCAGUAAUCAUCCACAGUCUGCAGGAGAAAUUGAGGCUCUCACCAACAAAUCAAGUGCACAAUUGAGAUUGCGACUCUUGUACUCAGACCCAACAUACAGAAUGUGUUGACUCUCAAUUUUAAAACCAGAACAUGUGUGAGAUUAUUAAUCUGAUCUCUAAACCAUCCUGCAAGUGUGAUUGUGACACAAGUCUCUGUUCAGUACUUGAGUGAUUUGACUCCUUUGCCUGGGCCCAGUCCAAAGAUGUAAUUGUGACAUAUCACUGAAACCAGCAUAUAGGAGAUGUGUCUCCAUACUCCUGCCUUGGUGCUGCCCACAGUGGGCACUGUGACAUAUCACUGGGCCUUGUAUCCAAGUGAUGACUGCCUGCAGGGGAUAUGGUGACAUUUUACUUUGCCCAGCACCAAGAUGACUUGAAUCUGCUGCCUUUGUUCUACUUUCAGAAGACAUUGUGACAUAUCGCUGGGCCUAGCACCAAGGUGAUGUGAAUCUUCUGCCUGGACCUGCUCACAGAGGGAAUUGUUACAUAUUUUUGACUUCAUCAACUAUUUGAUGUGACUCUCCUCUCUAACCUGGGCCUUGCCCAUAAAAAACAUUGUGGCUUAUCUCUGGGCCCAAAACCUAGGUGAUGUGACUGUCUUCUUAGGGUCAUGCCCACAGUAGAGAGAUGCCUUAUUGCUAAACCCAGCACACAGGUGAGGUGAUUCUUCUGUCUGGUCCCUGCCCACAGGGGUCAUGAUGACAUCUCUCUAAGCCCAUCACCUAGAUUAUGUGAGUUCUCUUUUUCUUCUGUUAGCUAUAUAGAAGAUUGUGACAUAUUGCUUGGCCCAGACCUCAUGUGAUGUGAAUCUCCUCUCAUGCCUUGGUCCUGUUUUUUUUUGGCCGUUGUUGUUUUGUUUUGUUUUUUGAGAUGGAGUCUUGCUCUGUUGCCUAAGCUGGA